GGUUUGGGAAAAUCACGUGAAAUUCUAAAAAGCUUCUCUCCGUGUUUUCUAGUUGUUUUUUCAGCCUUGGUCUAAGUUUCCUGUAGAAAAGGGCAUAGAAUUAUUAGAACAGACAAACUAGGCUUUCUCGGGAGAGAUGGAAGAAAAGUCUGCUGAUUGCAGUUCUGCUUUUCUUGUCUUCCCUUCGACUGUCAUUUUCUCUCCCCUGCUGUUCAAAUAGGCAGCAAUUAAUUGCUCUGCUGAAGAGUUUGCUGUACUAAGUGUCUGUCAAAUGGAUGCCUUCAACUCAAGAUAGCACCUGCUCCUUAGUUACAAAAAGUUCCUCACAGGAAAUUUUCAGGCGUGCCCAUAAAUCUCCUCGCUGUUUGUUUGGGAGAACAGGGUUUUCUCGUCUGUAACAGAAUAGUCAUGGCAUUUGCUAUGGAAUGCUGGUGGCAAUCUAGUCAGAAGAGGACGCCGUGCUUCACUAAUUUUCCCUUUUUGUUGUUGGGGGUGACUUCUUCCCAGGGAUGUUAUUCUUGACCCCCCGGGGCAAACGGAGGUGUUCACCUGGUCAGCGUCAGGAGCCAUCCUACCUGAGGCCCUGGCUCCCUCUUUCCCUUCGGUUGCCGUGGAUGUGCCGGACACCUCUGGCAGGACUAACCCUGUGGCUUUUAUGUCCAACGUGCUGUGUGCCUGCAGGUAAGAAAAGCUGGGAGUGCAGUCCCUCUGCUUUGCUUGCUGUGUCUCUUGGGUAGUGAUUUUGGAGGGGAAUCCCAGAGCGAUUUGGUUUGAAGGGGACCUUCAAAGGCCACCCUGUCUUCCGUGGGCAGGGACACCUUCCCCUCUCAUCCCCGGUUGCUCCAAGUCCCGUCCAGCCUGGCCUGGAACACUUGCAGGGAUCCAGGGGCAGCCUCAGCUUCCCUGUGCAGUGUGCUCUAAUAUCUCUCCACUGGCAUCCUGAAAAAUGUUGUCAGCGUGUUUUGUUGGACGACGGUAAGCGGGACCUGGGUGAAAAGGACAUUCUCUGAGGUGCUGGGAGAAGGAGGGCUCGUGCGGGCACCUCCAGAGACAGUGGGAACGGGAGCGUGCUGCAGAGAAGGAAAAUUCCAGGGGGUGGGUGCCAAGGAAUUUGUCCUUCCCUUGCUCUGUGCUCUGCACUUAGCAAUGGGUCAAGUGCAGAAGUUUCCUGGGGACCCUGGAAAAUGAUGCCGGGUCUGCUAAGAAAAGUGGGGCCAAAGGAGCAGGACCUGGGUCUGCGAGCGUGGGAGAAACAAGGGCCGGGUCAUCCUCUGCCUCCAGGAGGGAGGGCAGCAGGAAAGGCCACGGACUAAAGCACUGAAGUGCCGUUCCCCAGGGAGCCCCUGCCCAGCACUGAACUUGCUUGUGCACUUGCUGUCCCUUUGCCAGCGGAGCCGAAGCGUCGGGUGCGGGUGCCGGGGGGAUGGAGCUGCCAAGGACAAACUGGGAGGGUGUUUGCGAAGGAAGGGGGUAGAAGGAGCUCUUGACGUGCUUUUUUUACUUCUUCAUCCCACAGAAUUGCCACGAGAGGAAAUACUUCAGAGGGGCUUCCCUCCAGAUAAGCCCUGAAUGUGCCAGGAGGUUUCAGCCGGGAGAAAGGAGCUGUGGAAGAAAAGCAGCCUAAAAAUAGCCAGCGGGGAUCAUCAGGUUUUCCAGCCAAGAAAAACCAGGAGGGAGAUGAGGGAAUCGGGUUCCAAUUCCUAAAGAUUUGGUGGGUGUAGGAAUGAUUUCUGUGUGUUUUCCAGUCCCUUUUGAUUCCUGGGAUGAUUUUAAAAUGAUGGCUAAAUUGGAGAUGUUGUUUUUGAGAGGAAAUGAUGCCAAAUAAAUGCAAAGUUUGGGGUCAGUUUU